AAAAACACACACACACA
rnacentral:miRNA from 1 species